UACGAAGGGGGCUAGCGUUGUCUCGAAUCACUGGGCGUAAAGGGUGCGUAGGCGGGUCUUUAAGUCAGGGGUGAAAUCCUGGAGCUCAACUCCAGAACUGCCUUUGAUACUGAGGAUCUUGAGUUCGGGAGAGGUGAGUGGAACUGCGAGUGUAGAGGUGAAAUUCGUAGAUAUUCGCAAGAACACCAGUGGCGAAGGCGCUCACUGGCCCGAUACUGACGCUGAGGCACGAAAGCCAGGGGAGCAAACGGG
rnacentral:rRNA from 1 species